UACGGAGGGUGCAAGCGUUAUCCGGAUUUACUGGGUUUAAAGGGUGCGUAGGUGGGUAGGUAAGUCAGUGGUGAAAUCUUCAAGCUUAACUUGGAAACUGCGUCGGAUACUAUUCGGCUGGAGGAAUGGAGGGGAGACUGGAAUACUUGGUGUAGCAGUGAAAUGCGUAGAUAUCAAGUGGAACACCAGUGGCGAAGGCGAGUCUCUGGACAUUUCCUGACGCUGAGGCACGAAAGCGUGGGGAGCAAACAGG
rnacentral:rRNA from 1 species